UACAUUUCUUUUUACAGCAUAUACGCUACCAUAUAAUGCGAUAGAACGUGACGUAUGGCAAAAUGAUUUUUGCUGCGCAGCGAAAUUAAAUAAUAUUUUUUUUAAAUUAUAUAUCAAUACGGACGUUUUUUUCUUUCUGAUGAAUUACGGACACGUGAAAAAAAAAAAAAAGAACGCGUCUGACAUCCUUAUUUUGGGGUAUGACGAAGUUCCCGCUGACGUUUUUAUAUAAUUGUUUUAAUUUGAUAUAGAUAAUGAAAACGAUAGAUAAUAUUCGCUGCGUCUGUUUCAGAUAGAUGAUGUUCAUGGCUCCUUAGAUGCCAUAACGUGCACGUAUGGACUCGACUAUAUCGGCGUUAUACGGUGCCACAUAAUUUUCAAUUCGAACCAAUAAUUCGCUGGCU